CUGUCCUUUCUGAGUGGUUUUAUCAACAAGGGUGUUCAAUCUUUGCACCCAGGGGUUGCAGUAAGUCUGGAUCCCACAUCAAACUGUUCGUGGUACCUCUAAACUUCAUGGAGGAGUUGUGUUUCAUAAAUCUGAGAAAGCCUUGGUCUGAGGGGAGCAAAGACAGAGAACCUCACACACUGCCCAUGCAUAGCCACUUUGCAGUUGGACAUCCCUGGACACUUUUCUGGUUUAAUGAAGCCAGCUGUCAUGUUCAUGAGACUCAUGUAUCAAGGAACUGAAGAUGUUCCCCGGCCAACAGCCAGCUAAGAACUGAUUGGCUAAGAGUCCUUGAGGAAGUGAAUCUCACCAACAACCAUAUAGUGAACUUGAAAAUGAUCCUUCCUCAGUUGAACCCUCAGAUGAGACUGAAAUCCUAAUUAACAGUCUGCUCCACCUUGUGAGAUUGUGAAACAGAGGCCUAAGCUAAGCCAUGCCCAGAUUCUUGAUCCACAGAAACUGUGUGAUAAUAAAUGUGCAUUGAUUUAAGCCUCAAAUUUCAUGGUAAUGCUUUACAAAGCAAUAAAUACUAAUACAGUAUUUAGCAAAUUUUUUGAAAAACAAAGUGAUGCUUGAAGA